AGAAGUCUGCUCCGAAUUUCAGCGCUUGUCUGGCAACCACGAGAUACUGGUUCAUUUUUAAGGUUUUAAACUGAGAGGAAUCACUGAGGAAAGCGCACCACAGUAUUUUCAAAAAUACUUGCGUCCUUAAGAAGUAACUAGUCAAGAAAAAGUUUUCUUUCUGGACACGGAUGAGCAAAACUAAGAAGCAAACACAGACACUUCCCUGCCACAAUUGUGGUCUAAAGCAAGGAAGCACAUGAGUUCCAUGAAGGAUCCUGACUCUCACAAGGUAUCUUUUCCUGUAAAAGAAUUUCACACAAUUUCUCACCAUUGUCUAUAAAGGUGUCCAUUUGGGGGCUGUGGUUGGAAGCACAUGACCUGUUAGAUGAGGACAGCAGCCCUCAGCUCAGCACUCCGGUCCUAAGGUGAUAUGUCUUACCCCAGCUAGGG